AGAGUUUGAUCAUGGCUCAGGAUGAACGCUGGCGGCGUGCCUAACACAUGCAAGUCGAGCGAUUCACUUCGGUGAAGAGCGGCGGACGGGUGAGUAACGCGUGGGUAACCUGCCUCAUACACAUGGAUAACAUACCGAAAGGUAUGCUAAUACAAGAUGAUAUAAGAGAUUCGCAUGGAUUUCUUAUCAAAGCUCCGGCGGUAUGAGAUGGACCCGCGUCUGAUUAGCUAGUUGGUAAGGUAACGGCUUACCAAGGCGACGAUCAGUAGCCGACCUGAGAGGGUGAUCGGCCACAUUGGAACUGAGACACGGUCCAAACUCCUACGGGAGGCAGCAGUGGGGAAUAUUGCACAAUGGGCGAAAGCCUGAUGCAGCAACGCCGCGUGAGCGAUGAAGGCCUUCGGGUCGUAAAGCUCUGUCCUCAAGGAAGAUAAUGACGGUACUUGAGGAGGAAGCCCCGGCUAACUACGUGCCAGCAGCCGCGGUAAUACGUAGGGGGCUAGCGUUAUCCGGAUUUACUGGGCGUAAAGGGUGCGUAGGUGGUUUCUUAAGUCAGGAGUGAAAGGCUACGGCUCAACCGUAGUAAGCUCUUGAAACUGGGAAACUUGAGUGCAGGAGAGGAAAGUGGAAUUCCUAGUGUAGCGGUGAAAUGCGUAGAUAUUAGGAGGAACACCAGUAGCGAAGGCGGCUUUCUGGACUGUAACUGACACUGAGGCACGAAAGCGUGGGGAGCAAACAGGAUUAGAUACCCUGGUAGUCCACGCCGUAAACGAUGAGUACUAGGUGUCGGGGGUUACCCCCCUCGGUGCCGCAGCUAACGCAUUAAGUACUCCGCCUGGGGAGUACGCUCGCAAGAGUGAAACUCAAAGGAAUUGACGG
rnacentral:rRNA from 1 species